AUGAACGCUGGCGGCGUGGAUUAGGCAUGCAAGUCGAACGCCAAAGCGGGGGCAACUCCGCGAGUAGCGUGGCGAAAGGGUGAGUAAUGCUUGGAUGACCUGCCUUCGAGACGGGGACAACAGUUCGAAAGGACUGCUAAUACCCGAUGGUCCGUUCCGGUUGAAUCCGGACCGGUAAACGGUUGAUUCCGCUCGAUGAGGGGUCCAAGUCCUAUCAGCUUGUUGGUGAGGUAACGGCUCACCAAGGCUUUGACGGGUAGGCGGACUGAGAGGUCGACCGCCCACAUCGGGACUGAGACACUGCCCGGACUCCUACGGGAGGCUGCAGUCGAGAAUCUUCUGCAAUGGGCGCAAGCCUGACAGAGCGACGCCGCGUGGAGGACGAAGGCCCUCGGGUUGUAAACUCCUGUUACACGUUAUGAAAUGUACGGGUCCACCCGUGCACUGACAAAGGCGUGGGAGAAAGUCACGGCUAACUUCGU
rnacentral:rRNA from 1 species